UAGGGAAUUUUGCGCAAUGGGCGAAAGCCUGACGCAGCAACACCGCGUGUAGGAUGAAGGAUUUCGGUUCGUAAACUACUGUCAGCAGGGAAUAUAAUGACUGUACCUGCAGAGGAAGCAUCGGCUAACUACGUGCCAGCAGCCGCGGUAAGACGUAGGAUGCAAGCGUUGUCCGGAAUUAUUGGGCGUAAAGAGUUCGUAGGCGGUUGUCUAAGUCUGAUGUUAAAUACUGGAGCUCAACUCCGGCAUGGCAUUGGAAACUGGGCAGCUAGAGUGUGGUAGAGGUCUCGGGAAUUCCAGGUGUAGCGGUGAAAUGCGUAGAUAUCUGGAGGAACACCGGUGGCGAAAGCGCGAGACUGGGCCAUAACUGACGCUGAGGAACGAAAGCCAGGGGAGCGAA
rnacentral:rRNA from 1 species